rnacentral:tRNA from 1 species
GCCCCUGUAGCCGAGAUUGUGUUGUGCUCGGAUUACCAAUGCGGAGGUCGUGGGUUCGAUUCCCACCAGUGGCC